rnacentral:misc_RNA from 1 species
GCAAACUUGGUCAUUUAGAGGAAGUAAAAGUCGUAACAAGGUUUUCGUAGGUGAACCUGCGGAAGGAUCAUUACCGAAGUCCGGGGGAGUGCUGGCCUUCUCGGCAUGUGCACCUCCCUUUCUUCAUCCACACACACCUGUGCACUUCUUGAGGCGGGGGAUUCCCAUGUCUGGAGCAGGCCAAGUCUGGCCCGAAGACCCGCCUACACUUUUCACAAACACUUUGUAUGAUUCGGAACGUAGUAGCGGCUCGCCGCAAAAUCCAUACACAACUUUCAACAACGGAUCUCUUGGUUCUCGCAUCGAUGAAGAACGCAGC